rnacentral:lncRNA from 1 species
CACAAAUCCAAGCCAUAUCUCUGACCUACACCACAGCUCGCGGCCACACCGGAUCCUUAACCCAAUGAUUGGGGCCAGGGAUUGAACCUGCGUCCUCAUGGAUGCUAGUCAGAUUUGUUUCCUCUGAGCCAUGAGAGGAACUCCAAAAUUCCUUUUAAUUGCAUAGAAUAACUUGAAGUUUACUCAGCAAUGCAAAUUUCUUCUCAUUAGUUCUGGGACAUAGUCCAUUUCCUUUAAGAUAUUGAAAGGACUGGGAGUUCCCGUCGUGGCUCAAGUGGUUAACGAUUCCGACUAGGAACCAUGAGGAAAAAAAAAAGAUAUUGAAAGGACUAUAUUGAAAAAAAUUUAGGAUUAAAAUUUUGUUUUGAGAAACUUAUAAACCAACUAAACUUCAGUAAAACCUUUUUUUGAAUAGGUAAUACAUUUAUAUUGUUUAAAACAUUAAAAAAAUUUUAAAAGUAUACAGUAAGAAUUCUCUCCCAGAUGGAGUUCCCGUCGUGGCACAGUGGUUAACGAAUCCGACUAGGAACCAUGAGGUUGUGGGUUCGAUUCCUGGCCUCGCUCAGUGGGUUAAGGAUCCGGCGUUGCGAGCUGUGGUGUAGGUCGCAGAUGCGGCUUGGAUCCCGAGUUGCUGUGGCUCUGGCGUAGGCUGGUGGCUACAGCUCCGAUUAGACCCCUAGCCUGGAACCUCCAUAUGCCAUGGGAGCAGCCUAAGAAAUGGCAAAAAGACAAAAAGACAAAAAAAAAAAAAAAAAGAAUUCUCUCCCAGCUACCCAGGUCUCUUCACCAUUGGUGUGACCUGUGUUAUCAGUUUCUUAUGUAUCCCAGACAUACUCUCUGCGUAUAUGAGGGAUGAUAGCACACCUUUGUUUUACAUGAGACUUUUUCUUCUUAACAUAUUUUAGGGAUAUUUCACAGUAGUACAUUAGCCGUUUCCUUCGUUAUGACUGCAUGGUCUUAAGAAUCUAUUUAAAGGAUCUCUGGGAGUUCUCUUGUGGUGCAGUGGGUUAAGGAUCCAGUGUUGUCACUGCAGCAGCUUGAGUCACUUUUGUGGUACAAAUUAAAUAACUGGCCUGGGAACUUACACAUGCCACUCGUGCAGUCAAAAAAAAAAAAAAAAAAAAAAAAAAUCCCUGAGGUUGACCUCUCUGCUGAUGAGAUAGCUUGCAUUUGGAAUGUUAGGAAUUCUAAUUUCACAAAACAAGGAGGUUUAACUGCAGAUAGAACUUAUGGCAGCUGCUCCCCAGUAUGCCCCACCCAUAAGUAGGAGGCCCAAAUUAAAAAAUGCCUAGUCCUUUUUCUCUUAAACUUACAUUUUGAACCAAAUCAUGCUAAGCUUUGUGAAGUGGUCCAAGAUAUUGUAAUACCGAUUAUGACUUUUAAAGUGAUAGUAUAAUUAUAAUAUCAAUGAUAGGUAAGCCCUGCUUAUGGCUUUCCAUUGCACAUAGAAUAAAAGACAAACUCCUCACCAAAACCCACUGGGCUUUGCAUGGUCUGGCUCCAGUCUUCUUAAUCUCCAGGCUUCGAUCACAUAGGCCCCUUAACAUAGCUGGCCUCCUCCUGCCACAGGGCCUUUGCACUUGCUCUUCUCUCAAUCUAGCAUGCUCUUUACUGGGAUCUUUUUGUGGCUCUCCACUUUAUCCUGCAACCUCAGCUUAAACAUCACCUCCUCCUUGAUGUCUUUCCUCAAUGUGCCAUCUAUAGUGUUCCCUCACCCUGCCCCCUCAUUCCUACUUUCCUCAUAGCACUUAUAAUCUACAACAAUUUUGUUUGUUUACAAGUUCCCUCCCGUUGGAAUGUAAGACCCCUGAGAACAGGAACUUGAACCAUCUUCACCAGUGUAUCUCCAGAACCUAAAAUAGUGCUUGGUAUACAGUUGGGGUACAAUUAAUACUUGCUGAAACAAAAAAAGUUAAAUGAGUAAAUUUGGGGGGGGGGCAGGCCCUCAGCAUGCCAAAUUUCCCAGGCCAGGGAUCAAACCCAUACCACAGCAGUAAUCAGAGCCACAGCACUGACAAUGCCAGAUUCUUAACUCACUGAGCCACCAAAUGAUCUCACAUAACUAAAUAAACAUACUAAAGUACUCUAAAAGAAACUCUAUUUAUAUAUGAGUUUUUUAUUUCAUGACCAUCUAUCUGGAGUCCUAUUUACGCCUUCUCUAAGUCAGAGAUGUUCAGUAUGUUUGAAUUACUAAAGCUACUUGCAUCUGCUGUAAUAUGCUAUCUAUGAAGUCAUGCUGCUUAUGCCGUAAUGGUAUGUGCUCUUCCUCUUAUAAUCUUUUUGAGUCACUAAGGCCACAUGUCUUGGUUAUUAUGUCAACACUUAUUAGUCAUGUGCUUACUUCGCAUCAUUACUAAAAAACAUGCAUUUACAUGGUACUUUAAAGUCUGUUAAAAGUUUUUUAUUGAUGUCAAAUUAUUUGAUUUUCACAACCCCCUCUACCCUGUAAGGUAUCUUAUGGUCA